rnacentral:rRNA from 1 species
UACGAAGGGGGCUAGCGUUGCUCGGAAUCACUGGGCGUAAAGCGCACGUAGGCGGGUCUUUAAGUCAGGGGUGAAAUCCCGGAGCUCAACUCCGGAACUGCCUUUGAUACUGGAGAUCUUGAGUCCGGGAGAGGUGAGUGGAACUCCGAGUGUAGAGGUGAAAUUCGUAGAUAUUCGGAAGAACACCAGUGGCGAAGGCGGCUCACUGGCCCGGUACUGACGCUGAGGUGCGAAAGCGUGGGGAGCAAACAGGAUUAAGAAA